rnacentral:rRNA from 1 species
AUUGAACGCUGGCGGCAUGCCUUACACAUGCAAGUCGAACGGUAGAGGGGCAACCCUCGAGAGUGGCGAACGGGUGAGUAAUGCAUCGGAACGUACCCAGUUGUGGGGGAUAGCUCGGCGAAAGCCGGAUUAAUACCGCAUACGCACUGAGGUGGAAAGCGGGGGACGUCGCAAGGGCCUCGCGCAGUUGGAGCGGCCGAUGUCAGAUUAGCUAGUUGGUGGGGUAAAGGGCCUACCAAGGCGACGAUCUGUAGCUGGUCUGAGAGGAUGACCAGCCACACUGGGACUGAGACACGGCCCAGACUCCUACGGGAGGCAGCAGUGGGGAAUUUUUGGACGAAUAGGGCGGCGAACGACCUCGAUCCACGCCAUGCCG